rnacentral:rRNA from 1 species
CACGUAGGGCGCAAGCGUUGUCCGGAAUUAUUGGGCGUAAAGAGCUCGUAGGCGGUCUGUUGCGUCCGCUGUGAAAACUCGGGGCUUAACCCCGAGCCUGCAGUGGAUACGGGCAGACUAGAGUGCGGUAGGGGAGACUGGAAUUCCUGGUGUAGCGGUGAAAUGCGCAGAUAUCAGGAGGAACACCGGUGGCGAAGGCGGAUCUCUGGGCCGAUACUGACGCUGAGGAGCGAAAGCGUGGGGAGCGAACAGG